CUAUCACUAGACAAGAACAUUCUUCAAGGAAUAUCCAGACAUUGCUAGAUAGAGCUGCAGAUGAUGGCUUGGUGUUAAUUCAUUCUCCACGAGUGGGGUUAUUUAGGAGAUCUCGAACGAUAAAGGGGAAGCGUGCUCCGCCAUCAUGUAAAGAG